GCACUGCUGAUGAGUCCCACAAUAGGACGAAAUGGCCGUCCAGUGC
rfam:Schistosoma mansoni strain Puerto Rico chromosome W, complete genome